rnacentral:rRNA from 1 species
UACGAAGGGGGCUAGCGUUGUUCGGAAUUACUGGGCGUAAAGCGCGCGCAGGCGGUUUUCCAAGUCAGUGGUGAAAGCCCGGAGCUCAACUCCGGAACUGCCAUUGAAACUGGCGAACUUGAGUACGGGAGAGGUGAGUGGAAUUCCCAGUGUAGAGGUGAAAUUCGUAGAUAUUGGGAAGAACACCGGUGGCGAAGGCGGCUCACUGGCUCGUAACUGACGCUCAGGCGCGACAGCGUGGGGAUCAAACAGG